AACGAACGCUGGCGGCAGGCCUAACACAUGCAAGUCGAGCGCCCUGCAAGGGGAGCGGCGGACGGGUGAGUAACGCGUGGGAAUUUUUCCUGGAGUACGGAACAACCGAGGGAAACUUCGGCUAAUACCGUAUGAUGCCGAGAGGCCAAAGAUUUAUCGCUCUGGGGUGAGCCCGCGUCAGAUUAGGUAGUUGGUGGGGUAAAGGCCUACCAAGCCUGCGAUCUGUAGCUGGUCGAGAGGACGAUCAGCCACACUGGACUGAGACACGGCCCAGACUCCUACGGGAGGCAGCAGUGGGGAAUCUUGCGCAAUGGGCGAAAGCCUGACGCAGCCAUGCCGCGUGAGUGAAGAAGGUCUUAGGAUUGUAAAGCUC
rnacentral:rRNA from 1 species